UACGUAGGGAGCAAGCGUUGUCCGGAUUCACUGGGUGUAAAGGGUGCGUAGGCGGGAGAAUGAGUCAGCGGUGAAAUCUUACGGCUCAACCGUGAAACUGCCGUUGAUACUGUUUUUCUUGAGUUCGGGAGAGGUUGAUGGAAUUCCAGGUGUAGCGGUGAAAUGCGUAGAUAUCUGGAAGAACACCAGUGGCGAAGGCGGUCAACUGGCCCGAAACUGACGCUGAGGCACGAAAGCGUGGGUAGCGAACAGG
rnacentral:rRNA from 1 species